rnacentral:rRNA from 1 species
AUGGUCUUCGCGGCGGCAGAAGGAGGCCGUGGCGGUACAGAGUGGUCUCCGGUUCGCCGGAGAAGCAGCAAGAAGAUGGCCGGAAGGAAGGGCGGCGAGAGGAAGAAGGCGGUGACCCGCUCCGUGAAGUCCGGGCUCCAGUUCCCCGUGGGCCGCAUCGGGCGCUACCUCAAGAAGGGCCGCUACGCGCAGCGCGUCGGCUCCGGCGCCCCCGUCUACCUCGCCGCCGUCCUCGAGUACCUCGCCGCCGAGGUCCUGGAGCUGGCCGGCAACGCGGCCAAGGACAACAAGAAGACGCGCAUCAUCCCUCGCCACCUGCUGCUGGCCGUCCGCAACGACCAGGAGCUCGGCAGGCUGCUCGCCGGCGUCACCAUCGCCCACGGCGGCGUCAUCCCCAACAUCAAUUCCGUGCUGCUCCCCAAGAAGUCCCCCGCUGCCGCCGAGAAGGAGGCCAAGUCGCCCAAGAAGAAGGCCGCCACCAAGUCCCCCAAGAAGAAGACCGCAGCCGCCAAGGAGUAG